rnacentral:misc_RNA from 1 species
UUGCCGCCGCUCAACGCCGCCGCUCAGUUCCUGGAAGCAAAUCCCCAACCGCCGUGGCGCUUGAUUUUUCUUCCCCUGCGCGCUUAUCUUCAGCCGACGUUUAGUGUUCGUGGGACAAAGAACAAUCCGGCCGUCGUUCUUCACGCGCUGCAGCCGAGCUCCUUUGCUGCACGCGCAUCAUCUUCCCUGCGUUUUCCCCAGUCUGCGCGCUGCUCCAAUUCCAAGCCAUGGUUGAGCGUUCAACCGGAUCCCCUCAAGCCUGUAUCGCGCCCCUCUGCUCGCUUCUGGUUCGGAUGGCACCCCCGGUCCCCGCUCCUCUCUGCCGCUCCUACGGUGCCUGGCCAACUCCCUGCUCCAAUUUUCCUCUGCGCCGGCCACCUGGGAGGAUCGAGCUCGCCCCUCCGCGCCCAGCCAACACCUGCGCGCCGCGAUUUCCUCUCCAUCUCCCUCAAGCUCGCCGAGCGGUUCUUCCCCCAGCGCAUCCUCUGCCCUGGCCGACGUUUCUCUCUCUCCUCGCCUCACCCAUGGUCGAGCGCUCCUCUGCUCGGAUCUCGCCCGUUUGCGCUCAGCCUUUGCUACCAGUUCCUCAUGGCGCCCGGCCAAGUUUCUCUGCGCGCCGUGCUCUCUGCUCUCCCUGUGCAGCUCCCUGGUCCUUGCUUCUUUCUUUCUAUACUCAUCCCCAAGAUGCGUCCUGGAGUUUGA